GCCUUGCAAAGUUUGCCGUUUUUCAGUCAUUUUGUAUUACAAACGGGAAAUUGAUAGCCCCAAAUGCAGGUAUUGGGCUGUCAAUUUCCACCGCGUAAUGCAAAAUGACUGAAAAACGGCAAUCUUCGCAAGGCUAUAUUAUCCGCAUUUUACAACAUUUCGCAACCAAACUUUGGAAUAUUACUAAUUUUGUGAUGCUCUUUCAAGCUGUGAUGAAAUUUUUGUCCAGACUUGUUUAGAUCAAAAUUUAGUCAAUAAUGCAAAUGGUCCAUUGGUAUGUUCAUGAAGGGGAGACUAUUUUGUAUGUUACGUAACAAAUGCCAUCCGGUUAUGAAUGCAUUUCAAAAUACUUUGUCAAUCGUCACACAAACUUAAAAAGUUCGUUUAGUGUAUAAUUUAUAAAAUAAUGC
rnacentral:lncRNA from 1 species